rnacentral:rRNA from 1 species
AUUGAACGCUGGCGGCAGGCUUAACACAUGCAAGUCGAGCGGAGAUGAGGUGCUUGCACCUUAUCUUAGCGGCGGACGGGUGAGUAAUGCUUAGGAAUCUGCCUAUUAGUGGGGGACAACAUUCCGAAAGGAAUGCUAAUACCGCAUACGUCCUACGGGAGAAAGCAGGGGAUCUUCGGACCUUGCGCUAAUAGAUGAGCCUAAGUCGGAUUAGCUAGUUGGUGGGGUAAAGGCCUACCAAGGCGACGAUCUGUAGCGGGUCUGAGAGGAUGAUCCGCCAAACUGGGACUGAGACACGGCCGAGACUCCUACGGGAGGCAGCAGUGGGGAAUAUUGGACAAUGGGGGGAACCAUGAUCCAGCCAUGCCGCGUGUGUGAAGAAGGCCUUAUGGUUGUAAAGCACUUUAAGCGAGGAGGAGGCUACUGAGACUAAUACUCUUGGAUAGUGGACGUUACUCGCAGAAUAAGCACCGGCUAACUCUGUGCCAGCCGCCGCAGUAA